rnacentral:lncRNA from 12 species
CCUCCACUUGAAACCCUAGAGAGCUCCCCUUUUUCUACAAGAAAAAUUCCAAGUUCCUUAGAGUGGAAUUAAAAGCUCUGCAUGUCAACUCUCAAAAGUAUUAAAUCCUGCCUCUUCCUUCCCUUUCAUGUUGUGCUAUUUCAAUCAUCAUUCUCCCACCUCACAGCCAUUUUCACUUGACAAAUGCCUAAUCAUUCUUCAAGAUAUUUUUUACACUGUCCUCUAAUGUAAUACCUCCUCUGUUUUUAUAAUAUUUUUAAAAAUACUAUCUCCACCACUUUUGGCCCUUUAUUUGUAAUUGUUAAUAUGACAGAUGUUAUUAGUGAACAGUUAUAUCAUGGACCUACUUCUUCCUCAUUCAUUUGAAAGUAAGCAGGCAUGUGACAUGCAGUGGACAAUGACCUAUGUGAGGAAGUGACCUAAGUGAAGAAUUUAAUUACUAAUGAUUAACUCUCUAUUUCUCUCUUUCCUGCUGAGGCGAUAAUAAAAGCACAUUUUGAUAAGGUAUUGCAAUAAGUGAGCCAUCUCAUGGAGAACAGUUUUCCCAGAGCAUAUGUUAACUAGACUUUCAGCAGACUGUAUUUAAGCCCCUCAAAGCUGGGAGUCAAUUUAUUAUUAUUAUUAUUAUUAUUAUUAUUAUUAUUAUUAUUAUUGAGCUAUCAGUUUACAUUCCUUCUUCCAUACUAGACUGAAGUUCUUGAGAGCUAUUACUGUACUCAGUGUGUUUUAUAAAAUGAAAAAGGAAAAAGAGAGAGAUUAAUUGAAUGAUGUGGCAGCCUGAGUAUGAUUGAUCGGUAUUUAUCCCUUGUUUUUUUUAUCAGCUAUCAAGCCUCUUUUAGUUGUUUUAUUCUUCUCUGUCCACGCUUGUUCCUGAUGAUGUGAAGUCAGUCUGACCAAUACCAAGUUUUUCUAAAAUUCUAGAUAUGUGAAAGAACUGAUUGUAGCUGCAUGAAAAAAGACUGCUACCAUAGGAAAUACUUUGGGCUAUCUAAACCUGUGCUAUCCAUCUUGCAUGGUAUGUUAUUUCAAGGGAAGAUACAAAUUUCUACUCUGGACUAGAGGAAGCAAGGUCUGAUUUAGCAAAUGUGAACUAAUAAAGGAGCAGAAAUAAGUGAUGAUGGAAAUCCU